GAUGAACGCUGGCGGCGUGCCUAAUACAUGCAAGUCGAGCGAACAGAUGAGGAGCUUGCUCCUCUGACGUUAGCGGCGGACGGGUGAGUAACACGUGGAUAACCUACCUAUAAGACUGGGAUAACUUCGGGAAACCGGAGCUAAUACCGGAUAAUAUAUUGAACCGCAUGGUUCAAUAGUGAAAGACGGUUUUGCUGUCACUUAUAGAUGGAUCCGCGCCGCAUUAGCUAGUUGGUAAGGUAACGGCUUACCAAGGCAACGAUGCGUAGCCGACCUGAGAGGGUGAUCGGCCACACUGGAACUGAGACACGGUCCAGACUCCUACGGGAGGCAGCAGUAGGGAAUCUUCCGCAAUGGGCGAAAGCCUGACGGAGCAACGCCGCGUGAGUGAUGAAGGUCUUCGGAUCGUAAAACUCUGUUAUUAGGGAAGAACAAAUGUGUAAGUAACUAUGCCCGUCUUGACGGUACCUAAGCAGAAAGCCACGGCUAACUACGU
rnacentral:rRNA from 1 species